rnacentral:rRNA from 1 species
UAAAGUCUAAUCUGCCCACUGAUAUAAUAUUAAAGGGCUGCAGUAUUUUGACUGUACAAAGGUAGCAUAAUCAUUAGUCUUUUAAUUGAAGACUUGUAUGAAUGAUUGGAUGAAAUAUAAACUGUCUCUAAUAUUAUUAGUUAGAAUUUAAUUUUUUUAUUAAAAAGUAAAAAUAAAUUUAAAAGACGAGAAGACCCUAUAGAGUUUUAUAAUUAAUUUAAUUGAAAUUAUUUAUAAAGAUAAUUUUAAAUUAAUAAAUUAAAAUUAAGUUAAUUAUUUUGUUGGGGUGAUAAAAAAAUAAAAAUAACUUUUUUUAAUAAAUAUAUAUAUAUAUAUAUAUAUAUAUAUAUUGUAAACAAAAAUAAAUGAUUUUUUGAUCCAGAAUUUUUGAUUAUAAGAAAAAAUUACCUUAGGGAUAACAGCGUAAUUUUUUUUUUUAGUUCAAAUAAGAAAAAGAGUUUGCGACCUCGAUGUUGGAUUAAGGAAAAAUUUAAAUGCAAAAGUUUAAAAUUUUG